rnacentral:rRNA from 1 species
UACGGAGGAUGCGAGCGUUAUCCGGAUUUAUUGGGUUUAAAGGGUGCGUAGGCGGGUUAUCAAGUCAGCGGUAAAGUCGCGGAGCUCAACUCCAUCCAGCCGUUGAAACUGAUGAUCUUGAGUGGGCGAGAAGUAUGCGGAAUGCGUGGUGUAGCGGUGAAAUGCAUAGAUAUCACGCAGAACUCCGAUUGCGAAGGCAGCAUACCGGCGCCCGACUGACGCUGAAGCACGAAAGCGUGGGUAUCGAACAGG